rnacentral:rRNA from 1 species
GUUAGGAAUAUUGGACAAUGGGCGCAAGCCUGAUCCAGCCAUGCCGCGUGAGUGAUGAAGGCCUUCGGGUUGUAAAGCUCUUUAGUCCACGAAUAUAAUGACUGUAGUGGAAGAAUAAGCCCCGGCUAACUUCGUGCCAGCAGCCGCGGUAAUACGAAGGGGGCGAGCGUUAUUCGGAAUCACUGGGCGUAAAGCGUGCGUAGGCUGUUUUGUAAGUCAGAAGUGAAAGCCCAGGGCUUAACCCUGGAAUUGCCUUUGAAACUACAAGACUCGAAUUCGGGAGAGGAUAGCGGAAUUGUCAGUGUAGCAGUGAAAUGCGUAGAUAUUGACAGGAACACCAGUGGCGCAAGCGGCUAUCUGGACCGAUAUUGACGCUGAGGCACGAAAGCGUGGGGAGCAAACAGGAUUAGAUACCCGUGUAGUCC